rnacentral:rRNA from 1 species
GUUUGGCCUCGGAUCAGGCGGGGAUACCCGCUGAACUUAAGCAUAUCAAUAAGCGGAGGAAAAGAAACCAACAGGGAUUGCCCCAGUAACGGCGAGUGAAGCGGCAACAGCUCAAAUUUGAAAUCUGGCGUCUCGGGCGCCCGAGUUGUAAUUUGCAGAGGAAGCCUCGGGUCGAGGGUCGGUCCAAGUUCCUUGGAACAGGAUACCGAAGAGGGUGAGAGUCCCGUCUCCGGCCGACGCCGACGCCCGUGUGAGGCUCCUUCGACGAGUCGAGUUGUUUGGGAAUGCAGCUCUAAAUGGGUGGUAAAUUCCAUCUAAAGCUAAAUACCGGCCAGAGACCGAUAGCGAACAAGUAGAGUGAUCGAAAGAUGAAAAGCACUUUGAAAAGAGAGUCAAACAGUACGUGAAAUUGUUGAAAGGGAAGCGUAUACGGCCAGACUUGACCGCGGGGGCUCAUCCCGUCUUCUGGCGGGUGCACUCCCUCGCGGGCAGGCCAGCAUCGGUUUGUGGGGUCGGACAAAGGCGUCGGGAACGUGGCUCUCUUCGGGG